rnacentral:rRNA from 1 species
CCUACGGGAGGCAGCAGUGAGGAAUAUUGGUCAAUGGGCGAGAGCCUGAACCAGCCAAGCCGCGUGAGGGAAGAAGGUUCUACGGAUCGUAAACCUCUUUUGUCGGGGAGCAAAUGCCGGUACUUGUCCCCUAAUGAGGGUACCUGGAGAAAAAGCAUCGGCUAACUCCGUGCCAGCAGCCGCGGUAAUACGGAGGAUGCGAGCGUUAUCCGGAUUUAUUGGGGUUAAGGGGUGGGCAGGGGGCGAGUUAGGUCAGCGGUAAAAGCUCGGGGUUCAACCCCGGCGAGCCGUUGAAACUGGCGGGCUAGAGUUGGCGAGAAGUAGGCGGAAUGCGUGGUGUAGCGGUGAAAUGCGUAGAGAUCACGAAGAACACCGAUUGCGAAGGCAGCGUACCGGCACCCAACUGACGCUGAGGCACGAAAGCGUGGGUAUCGAACAGGAUUAGAUACCCUGGUAGUC